UACGUAGGGCGCAAGCGUUAUCCGGAAUUAUUGGGCGUAAAGAGCUCGUAGGCGGUUUGUCGCGUCUGCCGUGAAAUCGGGCUCGACCCGGUCGCGCAUUCGAUACGGGCAGGCUAGAGUGUGGUAGGGGAGAUCGGAAUUCCUGGUGUAGCGGUGAAAUGCGCAGAUAUCAGGAGGAACACCGGUGGCGAAGGCGGAUCUCUGGGCCAUUACUGACGCUGAGGAGCGAAAGCGUGGGGAGCGAACAGG
rnacentral:rRNA from 1 species